rnacentral:rRNA from 1 species
UACUCGAGUGGCGAACGGGUGAGUAACACGUGGGUGAUCUGCCCUGCACUUCGGGAUAAGCUUGGGAAACUGGGUCUAAUACCGGAUAGGAGCCAUCUUUAGUGUGGUGGUUGGAAAGUUUUUUUGGUGUAGGAUGAGCUCGCGGCCUAUCAGCUUGUUGGUGGGGUAAUGGCCUACCAAGGCGGCGACGGGUAGCCGGCCUGAGAGGGUUUACGGCCACAUUGGGACUGAGAUACGGCCCAG